UUCAGGAUGGCCGAGUGGUUCUAGGUGCUGUGUUCAGGUUGCAGUCUGGAGGCGUGGGUUCGAAUCCCACUCCUGACA